rnacentral:rRNA from 1 species
GACAGAGGUCUCUAGCGUUGUUCGGAUUCACUGGGCGUAAAGGGUGCGCAGGCGGUCGGGUAAGUCCGGCGUGAAAGCCCCGAGCUCAACUCGGGAAGGGCGUCGGAUACUAUUCGGCUUGAGGUCUGGAGAGGGGACUGGAAUUCCUGGUGUAGCAGUGAAAUGCGUAGAUAUCGGGAGGAACGCCAGUGGCGAAGGCGAGUCCCUGGACAGAUCCUGACGCUGAGGCACGAAAGCCAGGGGAG